rnacentral:rRNA from 1 species
ACUCCUACGGGAGGCAGCAGUGGGGAAUCUUGGACAAUGGGGGCGAACCCUGAUCCAGCCAUGCCGCGUGAGUGAUGAAGGCCUUAGGGUCGUAAAGCUCUUUCGCCAGGGAUGAUAAUGACAGUACCUGGUAAAGAAACCCCGGCUAACUCCGUGCCAGCAGCCGCGGUAAUACGGAGGGGGUUAGCGUUGUUCGGAAUUACUGGGGCGUAAAGCGCGCGUAGGCGGACCAGAAAGUUGGGGGUGAAAUCCCGGGGGCUCAACCCCGGAACUGCCUCCAAACUCCUGGUCUAGAGUUCGAGAGAGGUGAGUGGAAUUCCGAGUGUAGAGGUGAAAUUCGUAGAUAUUCGGAGGAACACCAGUGGCGAAGGCGGCUCACUGGCUCGAUACUGACGCUGAGGUGCGAAAGUGUGGGGGAGCAAACAGGAUUAGAUACCCUGGUAGGAUAGCG